rnacentral:pre_miRNA from 1 species
CAACUUCUGCAGGAUGGCUGGUCCCCAGGCUGAGCUGGAUGAGUAUCUCUUGGAAAGGCUCACCCUCAAGCAGGACUAGGAGC